rnacentral:rRNA from 1 species
UACGUAGGGUGCGAGCGUUAAUCGGAAUUACUGGGCGUAAAGCGUGCGUAGACGGCUAUCUAAGUCGGGUGUGAAAGCCCCGGGCUCAACCUGGGAAUUGCAUUCGAGACUGAAUAGCUAGGGUACGGUAGAGGGAAGCGGAAUUUCCGGUGUAGCGGUGAAAUGCGUAGAUAUCGGAAGGAACAUCAGUGGCGAAAGCGGCUUCCUGGACCAGUACCGACGUUCAGGCACGAAAGCGUGGGGAGCAAACAGG